rnacentral:rRNA from 1 species
UACAGAGGUCCCAAGCGUUGUUCGGAUUCACUGGGCGUAAAGGGUGUGUAGGUGGCGCGCUAAGUCGGGUGUGAAAUUUCGGAGCUUAACUCCGAAACUGCAUUCGAUACUGGCGUGCUUGAGGACUGGAGAGGAGACUGGAAUUUACGGUGUAGCAGUGAAAUGCGUAGAUAUCGUAAGGAAGACCAGUGGCGAAGGCGGGUCUCUGGACAGUUCCUGACACUGAGACACGAAGGCCAGGGGAGCAAACGGG